rnacentral:rRNA from 1 species
UACGUAGGGUGCGAGCGUUAAUCGGAAUUACUGGGCGUAAAGCGUGCGCAGGCGGUUCGUUAAGUCAGAUGUGAAAGCCCCGGGCUCAACCUGGGAACUGCAUUUGAAACUGGCGGGCUUGAGUGCGGCAGAGGGGGGUGGAAUUCCGCGUGUAGCAGUGAAAUGCGUAGAUAUGCGGAGGAACACCGAUGGCGAAGGCAAUCCCCUGGGCCUGCACUGACGCUCAUGCACGAAAGCGUGGGGAGCAAACAGG